CGCGGCCUAUCAGCUUGUUGGUGAGGUAACGGCUCACCAAGGCUUCGACGGGUAGCCGGCCUGAGAGGGCGACCGGCCACACUGGGACUGAGAUACGGCCCAGACUCCUACGGGGGCAGCAGUGGGGAAUAUUGCGCAAUGGGCGAAAGCCUGACGCAGCAACGCCGCGUGCGGGAUGACGGCCUUCGGGUUGUAAACCGCUUUCAGCAGGGACGAAGCAACACGUGACGGUACCUGCAGAAGAAGCACCGGCCAACUACGUGCCAGCAGCCGCGGUGAUACGUAGGGUGCGAGCGUUGUCCGGAAUUAUUGGGCGUAAAGAGCUUGUAGGCGGUCUAUUGCGUCGAAAGUGAAAACUCAGGGCUCAACCCUGAGCCUGCUCUCGAUACGGGUAGACUUGAGGGAUGUAGGGGAGAACGGAAUUCUUGGUGGAGCGGUGGAAUGCGCAGAUAUCAGGAGGAACACCGGUGGCGAAGGCGGUUCUCUGGACAUUUCCUGACGCUGAGAAGCGAAAGCGUGGGUAGCAAACAGGCUUAGAUACCCUGGUAGUCCACGCCGUAAACGGUGGGUACUAGGUGUGGGGGACAUUCCACGUUCUCCGUGCCGCAGCUAACGCAUUAAGUACCCCGCCUGGGGAGUACGG
rnacentral:rRNA from 1 species